rnacentral:rRNA from 1 species
GACGAACGCUGGCGGCGUGCCUAAUACAUGCAAGUUGAGCGAUGAAGAUUGGUGCUUGCACCAAUUUGAAGAGCGGCGAACGGGUGAGUAACGCGUGGGGAAUCUGCCUUUGAGCGGGGGACAACAUUUGGAAACGAAUGCUAAUACCGCAUAACAACUUUAAACAUAAGUUUUAAGUUUGAAAGAUGCAAUUGCAUCACUCAAAGAUGAUCCCGCGUUGUAUUAGCUAGUUGGUGAGGUAAAGGCUCACCAAGGCGAUGAUACAUAGCCGACCCGAGAGGGUGAUCGGCCACAUUGGGACUGAGACACGGCCCAAACUCCUACGGGAGGCAGCAGUAGGGAAUCUUCGGCAAUGGACGAAAGUCUGACCGAGCAACGCCGCGUGAGUGAAGAAGGUUUUCGGAUCGUAAAACUCUGUUGGUAGAGAAGAACGUUGGUGAGAGUGGAAAGCUCAUCAAGUGACGGUAACUACCCAGAAAGGGACGGCUAACUACGUG